rnacentral:misc_RNA from 1 species
AAGUAAAGAGCUGCCCACCCAUUCGCCCCCCUCCCCGUCCGUCCGGCAUUACUUCGCUUUUCUCUGUGUAGAAACCCGCACGCGCCUCACUCGUUCUCCCUUCUGCCCAUCUCAUCGUUUGUUUGUCGCGACUCACCUAGCGCAUUUCCCCCAACCGACUUAGCAUUGGCCAUCUUCGUCUCCCAGAGGCGGCUCUCUCUGUGUGGGAGCGCUCGGCCUUCGGUUCACGCCAAGAAUUCCUUCUAGUAUCUCUUUCGCCUUGUAGCGUUUGCGUGUUUGUGCGCGCGCGACGGCUGCGGAUAGGAGCUGUCGCAGCCGCACUUAGGCGCGUAGUCAGUGGAGUGGAUCAUGGGCUCCCUCUCCGUGUCUGUAAACCUCUAGCGCACCCCCUUAGCGUCUUCCUUCUCCUAGUCACCCAUCUCACCUCCUUCAGAGGCUAGUACUCCAUCCAUGUUCCGCCGGAUCGCUCUUCCGCUAGCGGCAAGCGCCGCCGCCGCGCGCUUCAACUACGGCGUGACCUCCUCGGGCACCAUCCCCAAGUCGGCACCCGGGGCCGCCACCGCGGCGUCUUCAGGCCCCUACAUGCCUGCCUACUCGGAGGUGAAGGGCACGUGUGGCACACCAGUGCUGGAUCAGCUGAUCGGCUACUACGUUAACAUCCAGUCUCGUAAGAUGUACUACAAGGACUUUCUCCGCAUUGAGCAUCAGGCAGUCCGCUGGGCCUUUGCCGACAUUCGCAAGAACAGCGAGGCCCUGGCGCACGGCCUGCUGCAGACGGGUGUGCGGCCUGGUGAUCGCGUGCUUGCAAUCCAGCCAUGCAACUGUGAGACCUUCGUCCUGCAGCUUGCGUGCGCGAAGAUUGGCGCGCUGCUCUGUAUCGUCCCUCAAGACACCAUCAGCGCGGACAAGCUGCGCUUCUAUCUGAACGAGUUUCAGCCUCGCCAUCUUGUGGCCCGCGAGUGGAUCAACGUGCCGGAGAUGAAGCAGGGCGAGCUAGUGGAGCGCAACAUGCACUUCUGGGACACCAUCUACAACGUCAUCCCUGAGUUGGGCCUUUCCUACCCAGGCCAGAAGUUUCAGUGGGUGCACUCGCAGGAGUUUUACUACCUCAAGAAGAUCAUCAUUACAGAUCACAACAUGAACUUGCUAGGCGUGACACCGAUGCGGAAGAUGCUGGUGUGGGGCCCCUUCUCGUACUACGAGCAACGCCUGCGUCGGCUGUCGGCGCUGCUGCACCCUGACGAUCCAGUGCUGGCACUGGAGGACCCCAACCCGGCCAUGGAGGACAAGCUGCACAUCACCUACUCGCACCGCAACUGCGUGAACGCCGGCUUCCUCUUCAGCCAGCUCAUGCAGCUCAAGGCAGAGACGCGCUUUGGUGUGAUGCCGAACCACCACACGGACCCGAUCGGCGCCAUCAUCGCCCCGUAUGCGGCUCUCACCUCCGGUGCAGUGCUCGUGCACAUCCACUCCGACAUGUUCACAGAUGAUCACGCCAUCAACGGCAUCGAGAAGCUCUGCGUGGAGGAGGUGGAGACGCUCGUGGGCCGCAAGGCAGACUUCGACCUCAUCCUGAAGCACGCCGGAAACUUCGACGCUGACCAGUUUGAGCACCUCCGCUCCGUUGUCAUCUUCGAAAACGGUAUCGAGGCCCCCGUCUCUGAGGAGUAUCUCAACAAGCUAUCCAAGUCUCUCAACUUGGAUGACGUGUACGUCUUCCGCGGCCCCAUCGAGGCAUCCUACAUGCUGACGUGGCGCACACUCAAGAAGGGCUCGCAGGGCAUGGUCCCUCACGUCGAGGCCAAGGUAGUCGGUGAUCGUGGCACCAGUGACGCCAAGGUGCUGGCGGCCGGCACGCGCGGGAACCUGCGCUUGAAGGGCCCGCACGUCACAGCGGGCUACUACAACAAUGCAGGCUUGAUGACGGAGCUCAUCGACGAGCACGGCUUUGCUAGCACAAGCCGCGAGGCGAUGAUAGACGGCAAGGACAACAUCACUCUCAUGUCGGCACAGACCUAUUAAACGGGAAGGAAGCAGCAAUGGAUGAUCAGCAGCGCGUGCAUGGAGGGGAGCUGCAAACGAAACGGAGGGCUCUGAUAUUUUGUGGCGUCCCCCUCCCCCCGUGUCGCUGCGAUGCCCUCGCACUCGGUGCGCGAUAGCGAUGAGAGUGAGUGUUUGAGAGUAGAGGGACACGAACGCGCGCAUACUCGGAUAGCCAUGUGCGAGAGAAAGGAAGAGUAGCGUGAGAUGGGCGGCUUUAGUGGUCUGCGGUGGUGGAUGGAGGCCGCCCCUCUCUUAUCUCUCGCUCUUUGUUUUUGUUUUUUCUUUUGUCUCUUCGCAUGCCCACUGUCUGCCGUGCCGUUGCGCGCGGCGUGCGCACGACGGCCGCGAUGUGCGUUCCCAUUUCUGCCUCGCCGACUCACUUGUUCGCUCUCUCUCGCGCACGUAUUGCGUCGCUCCUUCGUACUGUGCGUGUCUUUGUUGUGGCCCUCUCUCUCGCCUGUUGGGAUUUUCUUUUUUUUCCGGUGAAGGAGCGUAUGUGGAGGAGGGGGGGGGAGUGACGGUGGUUAUCACUCGCCGUGUGGAUGUGUGGAUGUGUUUGGGUAUAUACACACAUGUGCGUGCGCCCGUGUCCUGUGGAUGUGUGUGCCUAUCACCAGCAGGGGCGCAGACGAAACGAGACGACAAAAACUCUCCUGCCCGAAAAAAGGAAAAGCAGCGGGUGCCGUGCUCUGCUGAGCACCGCUCGGCGCGGGGUAGAAGGCGCGCAUCUGGUGCUCUUCGAAAGUUGACAACGAUGACACUGCUCUCCCAACGCAGGGGGUGGGGGGCGCGAUGGUGAUCUUGGCGGACUCUGAGUACUCUAGCACUCUCGACAACCCGUCGAUGUGGUGUGUGCCUGCCGUCUUGAAAGCAUCUAGCACUGG